CAGGAGCAGAGUGUGCCAGGUCCCGGCCUCAGACCUGGAGGAGCUGUUGGGUGUUGGAGCCAACAAGAUUUGUGGAAAAUAAUCCCUUUUUAAUCCCUCACAGUUUUGAAAAGCUGGUACUGUGGACCAAAUGGUGAGACAGUGCUAACUCCUGAACCUGUUGCAGCUGAGAGAUCAUGGACGUCUGCCCUCCAAGCACUAAAGACCAGGAAGACACGGGCACCGAAGGUUGUUCGGUAGGACUUGCGAUCUCAGGGAUCCUCUUGCCAGAUUCUGUCUGUG